rnacentral:sRNA from 1 species
UGAUUCAGAAGUUUCAGAUCUUGGGUC